rnacentral:rRNA from 1 species
UACGUAGGGUGCGAGCGUUGUCCGGAUUCAUUGGGCGUAAAGAGCGUGUAGGCGGCCAGGUAGGUCGGUUGUGAAAACUGGAGGCUCAACCUUCAGACGUCGACCGAAACCAUCUGGCUAGAGUCCGGGAGAGGAGAGUGGAAUUCCUGGUGUAGCGGUGAAAUGCGCAGAUAUCAGGAAGAACACCCGUGGCGAAAGCGGCUCUCUGGAACGGUACUGACGCUGAGACGCGAAAGCGUGGGAGCGAACAGG